AUAAUCAGUUGGCUUAUAAUUGAAGUCUGGCAUGAAAGGGAAUUCGGGGUGUUACUAUCUUAAAAUAAUAAACAUGAAAUUACUUAAUAAGUGAAAAUUCUUAUAAUAAUAAAAUAGACGAGAAGACCCUAGAAAUUUUUAUAAAAUUAACUUUUUUUUUGUUGGGGCGACAGGAUAACAAAGAACUUAUCUACAUAAUUAAGAAAUUUAUAUAUAGUGUAACUAAAUUACUCUAGGGAUAACAGCAUAAUAUUGAAAAGUUUGUGACCUCGAUGUUGGACUAGGAAAUGUAUUACCUAAAAGGUAAUAUAAUUGGCCCUGUUCGUGCUAUAAUAUCCUACAU
rnacentral:rRNA from 4 species